rnacentral:rRNA from 1 species
GGGUGUGGACGGGGAUCUCUGAGUCUCGACGAUGAAUCAUACGCAUCAGUCUUUCGACCGAUUAUAUCUUCCAUCAUGCAAUUCUACAACCCCAGCGCGAUUGUUCUUCAAUGCGGAGCAGACUCUCUAGCCGGAGAUCGACUCGGUGUUUUCAAUCUCUCGGCGCACUGCUCAGUAACACGCGGACAAUCUGCCCUCGAGACGGGGAUAACCCCGGGAAACUGGGGAUAAUACCCGAUGGACCUGAGGUGAUGGAACGCUCCCAGGUCGAAAUCCUGCGGGGCUCGAGGAUGGGUCUGCGGCCUAUCAGGUUGUAGGGGGUGUUACGGACCCCCUAGCCGAAGACGGGUACGGGCUUUGGGAGAAGUCGCCCGGAGAUGGGUUCUGAGACACGAACCCAGGUCCUACGGGACGCAGCAGGCGCGAAACCUCCACAAUGUGGGAAACCACGAUGGGGGAACUCCAAGUGCCUACACUAUGUGUAGGCUGUUCUCGAGCCCAAAAAGCUCGAGAAGUAAGGGCCGGGUAAGACGGGUGCCAGCCGCCGCGGUAAUACCCGCGGUCCGAGUGGUGCUCAUUAUUAUUGAGCCUAAAGCGUCCGUAGCUGGCCGGGCAAAUCUCCGGGGAAAUCGGGCGGCCCAACCGUCCGAAGACCGGAGACACUGCUCGGCUUGAGAUCGGGAGAGGGAGGAGGUACUCCUGGGGUAGGGGUAAAAUCCUGUAAUCCUGGGGGGACCACCAGUGGCGAAGGCGUCCUCCUAGAACGAAUCUGACAGUGAGGGACGAAGCCCUAGGGCGCGAACGGGAUUAGAUACCCCGGUAGUCUAGGGUGUAAACGCUGCAGACUUGGUGUUGGGGGUCCUGCGUGGGCUCCCAGUGCCGGAGUGAAGAUGUUAAGUCUGCCGCUUGGGGAGUACGGUCGCAAGACUGAAACUUAAAGGAAUUGGCGGGAGAGCACCGCAACGGGAGGAGCGUGCGGUUCAAUUGAUUCAACGCCGGGGACUGCAGGCUGCAGCUGCCGCUUUCCCC